UCAGUGUGCGAUUGACCGGGAUUCGUCCUGUGAUACGCCUUGGUGGCGAGGUCAUGCACUUCUCCCCUAGUAGGACGUCGCGACCCGUUGGGUGUCGGUCUACGGCGUAGCCUGUCGUGAAUUGGCAGACCCCGCGUGUCCUGGCCGACCGCCCGACGGUAUAGCGUUCGGCCGGUCGCAAGCGUGUGCGGUUCUUUUGGCUGUCGGACCUGGUCCGGCACCGAUCCCGCGCGUGCUGUUGGUGACCGUGUCCUCGGACAGACUCUACAGGUCAGCGAUGCUAUUGCUUUGGGUACUUUCAGGACCCGUCUUGAAACACGGACCAAGGAGUCUAGCAUGUGCGCAAGUCAUUGGGAAUUACAAAACCUAAAGGCGUAAUGAAAGUGAAGGUUCGCUUAUGUGGACUGAGGGAUGAUGGUUCGGUGCAAACUCGCAAUCCCGGGGCGUCUCACUCUCUUUGAGAAGAGGCGCACCUAGAGCGUACACGCUGGGACCCGAAAGAUGGUGAACUAUGCCUGGUCAGGUCGAAGUCAGGGGAAACCCUGAUGGAGGACCGUAGCGAUUCUGACGUGCAAAUCGAUCGUCGGAACUGGGUAUAGCGGCGAAAGACUAAUCGAACCAUCUAGUAGCUGGUUCCCUCCGAAGUUUCCCUCAGGAUAGCUGGCAUUCGAAUGAGCGAGUCUCAUCCGGUAAAGCGAAUGAUUAGAGGCCUUGGGGCCGAAACGACCUCAACCUAUUCUCAAACUUUAAAUGGGUGAGAUCUCUGGCUUGCUUAAAUAGUGAAGCCAGAG
rnacentral:rRNA from 1 species